rnacentral:rRNA from 1 species
CAGGCGGGACGAAGACGCAGGCCGUGGACGGUCUGCGUUUGACGGACCCGCCGAAGGAAGCACCGGCCAACUCCGUGCCAGCAGCCGCGGUAAGACGGAGGGUGCAAGCGUUGUUCGGAAUCAUUGGGCGUAAAGGGUGCGCAGGCGGCCGCGCAAGUCCGGUGUGAAAGCCCAGGGCUCAACCCUGGAAUCGCAUCGGAAACUGUGUGGCUUGAGUCCGGGAGGGGCCAGUGGAAUUCCUGGUGUAGGGGUGAAAUCCGUAGAUAUCAGGAGGAACACCGGCGGCGAAAGCGACUGGCUGGACCGGGACUGACGCUGAAGCUCGAAAGCGUGGGCAGCGAACAGGAUUAGAUACCCUGGUAGUCCGCGCCAUAAACGA